rnacentral:rRNA from 1 species
GGGCCCGCACAAGCGGUGGAGCAUGUGGCUUAAUUCGAGGCAACGCGAAGAACCUUACCUGGUCUUGACAUGCCCGUCAUAGUUUUCCGAAAGGAAUUCGUCAGUUAGGCUGGACGGUGCACAGGUGCUGCAUGGCUGUCGUCAGCUCGUGUCGUGAGAUGUUCGGUUAAGUCCGGCAACGAGCGCAACCCCUCGUUCCUAGUUGCCAGCGGGUAAUGCCGGGGACUCUAGGAAGACAAACCUCGUGUAGAGGUGGGAAGGUGGGACGACGUCAAGUCAGUAUGGCCCUUACGACCAGGGCUGCACACGUGCUACAAUGCCCAGCACAAUGGGAUGCAACACCGCGAGGUUGAGCAAAUCACAAAACUGGGCCCC